UGGGGAAUAUUGCGCAAUGGGCGAAAGCCUGACGCAGCCAUGCCGCGUGAGUGAAGAAGGCCUUCGGGUUGUAAAGCUCUUUCAACGGUGAAGAUGAUGACGGUAGCCGUAGAAGAAGCCCCGGCUAACUUCGUGCCAGCAGCCGCGGUAAUACGAAGGGGGCAAGCGUUGUUCGGAAUUACUGGGCGUAAAGGGCGUGUAGGCGGAUCGUUUAGUCAGGGGUGAAAUCCCGGGGCUCAACCUCGGAACUGCCUUUGAUACUGGCGAUCUUGAGUCUGUGAGAGGGUGGCGGAAUACCCAGUGUAGAGGUGAAAUUCGUAGAUAUUGGGUAGAACACCAGUGGCGAAGGCGGCCACCUGGCACAGUACUGACGCUGAGGCGCGAAAGCGUGGGGAGCAAACAGGAUUAGAUACCCCUGUAGUCC
rnacentral:rRNA from 1 species